GUGAAAGUCUGUAACCACUUUAGUGUCAUGGCCCAGAUCUCUGAGUCAGAAGAGUCAGAGGAGGAGCGGGAGGACUUGAUUGGGAGAGCAGGCUCAGAAGCACAGCAGAAGGACCUGGCUGUGAGAACAGACUCUAGAGCUGAGAAACUGUUCCAAUCCGAGGAGCUCACUGUCUGAGGUGCUGACACAAUGGUGGCCAAACACUAGAAAGUGUUUUUCUAGGAGAAAACACUUUCUAGUGUAGUGUAGGAGAAACACUAGCCCGCCCAAACUAAGUCUUCUUAGAGGAAAACUGUCAUUGUCCCAGUCCUCUCUGGCAGGCCUCUUACGGUUAACAACUUUGAGGGGCUGUGCAGAUCAGGAAGACAGAAAUAGAAGGAAACUGCCUGCCUUAUAACUAUAGCCUGGGUUCCCUCUAAAAGGGGCACCACAGAGCCUCCUCAUCAUUAUACUACAUGGAUACUAAUCCCAUGUGGCAAAAACAACAUACAAACAGCUCUUACCAAGGUGCUAUACAUUUCAGCACUUUAAAACAGAGACUGCAUACAUCUGUUGAAUUUUACCCAAGAAACCUUACCUUACAAGGGCUUUGACUGUGGAUCUAAUCACACUGGAGAGCAGGAACAAGGGUGUGACAAGGAUGUGGAAGAGGGAGAGUGAAGCAAAGGCCUCCGAAGGAGAAAAUGCAGCUGUUUCAAAUAGGUGGGCAUGGACCACAAAUGUCUUAAUUUUAAAAAGAAAAGGAAAAAAUUUCAGCCAACCAUCAUUAUUAAAAGUGCAAAUGUAGUGUAAACA